rnacentral:rRNA from 1 species
AUUGCACGCUGGCGGCAGGCCUAACACAUGCAAGUCGAGCGAGCGGCGGACGGGUGAGUAAUGUCUGUGAACCUGCCUGAUGGAGGGGGAUACCUCCUGGAAACGGUCGCUAAUACCGCAUACCCUCCUAUUUGCCCCUAUGGGAUUAGCUAGUAGGUGGGGUAACGGCUCACCUAGGCGACGAUCCCGAGCUGGUCUGAGCGGAUGACCAGCCACACUGGAACUGAGACACGGUCCAGACGCCUACGGGAGGCAGCAGUGGGGAAUAGUGCACAAUGGGCGCAAGCCUGAUGCAGCCAUGCCGCGUGUGUGAAGAAGGCCUUCGGGUUGUAAAGCACUUUCAGCGGGGAGGCGGGACCCGCAGAAGAAGCACCGGCUAACUCCGUGCCAGCAGCCGCGGUAAUAC